UGGGGAAUUUUGGACAAUGGGGGAAACCCUGAUCCAGCCAUCCCGCGUGUGCGAUGAAGGCCUUCGGGUUGUAAAGCACUUUUGGCAGGAAAGAAACGUCAUGGGUUAAUACCCCGUGAAACUGACGGUACCUGCAGAAUAAGCACCGGCUAACUACGUGCCAGCAGCCGCGGUAAUACGUAGGGUGCAAGCGUUAAUCGGAAUUACUGGGCGUAAAGCGUGCGCAGGCGGUUCGGAAAGAAAGAUGUGAAAUCCCAGAGCUCAACUUUGGAACUGCAUUUUUAACUACCGGGCUAGAGUGUGUCAGAGGGAGGUGGAAUUCCGCGUGUAGCAGUGAAAGGCGUAGAUAUGCGGAGGAAAACCGAUGGCGAAGGCAGCCUCCUGGGAUAACACUGACGCUCAUGCACGAAAGCGUGGGGAGCAAACAGG
rnacentral:rRNA from 1 species